GAUGAACGCUGGCGGCGUGCUUAACACAUGCAAGUCGAACGGAAAGGCUCCUGCUUGCAGGGGUACUCGAGUGGCGAACGGGUGAGUAACACGUGUGUGAUCUGCCCUGCACUUCGGGAUAAGCCUGGGAAACUGGGUCUAAUACCGGAUAGGACGAUGUUUUGGAUGCCAUUGUGGAAAGUUUUUUCGGUGUGGGAUGAGCUCGCGGCCUAUCAGCUUGUUGGUGGGGUAAUGGCCUACCAAGGCGUCGACGGGUAGCCGGCCUGAGAGGGUGUACGGCCACAUUGGGACUGAGAUACGGCCCAGACUCCUACGGGAGGCAGCAGUGGGGAAUAUUGCACAAUGGGCGCAAGCCUGAUGCAGCGACGCCGCGUGGGGGAUGACGGCCUUCGGGUUGUAAACUCCUUUCGCUAGGGACGAAGCGAAAGUGACGGUACCUGGAGAAGAAGCACCGGCUAACUACGUG
rnacentral:rRNA from 1 species